rnacentral:rRNA from 1 species
GACGAACGCUGGCGGCGUGCUUAACACAUGCAGGUCGAACGGUGAAGCGAGUGCUUGCACUCGUGGAUCAGUGGCGAACGGGUGAGUAACACGUGAGUAACCUGCCCAUCACUCUGGGAUAAGCACUGGAAACGGUGUCUAAUACUGGAUACGACCAACCCUUGCAUGGGGUGUUGGUGGAAAGAUUUAUCGGUGAUGGAUGGACUCGCGGCCUAUCAGCUUGUUGGCGGGGUAAUGGCCCACCAAGGCGACGACGGGUAGCCGGCCUGAGAGGGUGACCGGCCACACUGGGACUGAGACACGGCCCAGACUCCUACGGGAGGCAGCAGUGGGGAAUAUUGCACAAUGGGCGAAAGCCUGAUGCAGCGACGCCGCGUGAGGGAUGACGGCCUUCGGGUUGUAAACCUCUUUCAGCAGGGAAGAAGCGAAAGUGACGGUACCUGCAGAAGAAGCACCGGCUAACUACGUG